CACGUAGGGGGCAAGCGUUGUCCGGAUUUAUUGGGCGUAAAGAGCUCGUAGGUGGUUCGGUAAGUCGGGUGUUAAACCCCCAGGCUCAACCUGGGGACGCCACUCGAUACUGCUGUGACUAGAGUCCGGUAGGGGAGCGUGGAAUUCCUGGUGUAGCGGUGAAAUGCGCAGAUAUCAGGAGGAACACCAGUGGCGAAGGCGACUCUUUGGCCUGUAACUGACGCUGAGGCGCGAAAGCGUGGGGAGCAAACAGG
rnacentral:rRNA from 1 species